GACGUAGGGUCCGAGCGUUGUCCGGAGUUACUGGGCGUAAAGGGCGCGUAGGCGGCUUUGUGCGUCACACGUGAAAGCCCCUGGCUUAACCAGGGAGGGUCGCGUGAAACGGCGAAGCUGGAGGCAGAGAGAGGCUGGUGGAAUUCCCGGAGUAGUGGUGAAAUGCGUAGAUAUCAGGAGGAACACCGGCGGCGAAGGCGGCCCUCUGGAUCGUUGCUGACGCUGAUACGCGAAAGCGUGGGGAGCAAACAGG
rnacentral:rRNA from 1 species